GAUGAACGCUGGCGGCGUGCCUAAUACAUGCCAGUCGAGCGAACAGACGAGGAGCUUGCUCCUCUGACGUUAGCGGCGGACGGGUGAGUAACACGUGGAUAACCUACCUAUAAGACUGGGAUAACUUCGGGAAACCGGAGCUAAUACCGGAUAAUAUAUUGAACCGCAUGGUUCAAUAGUGAAAGACGGUUUUGCUGUCACUUAUAGAUGGAUCCGCGCCGCAUUAGCUAGUUGGUAAGGUAACGGCUUACCAAGGCAACGAUGCGUAGCCGACCUGAGAGGGUGAUCGGCCACACUGGAACUGAGACACGGUCCAGACUCCUACGGGAGGCAGCAGUAGGGAAUCUUCCGCAAUGGGCCAAAGCCUGACGGAGCAACGCCGCGUGAGUGAUGAAGGUCUUCGGAUCGUAAAACUCUGUUAUUAGGGAAGAACAAAUGUGUAAGUAACUAUGCACGUCUUGACGGUACCUAAUCAGAAAGCCACGGCUAACUACGUG
rnacentral:rRNA from 1 species